UACGAAGGGGGCUAGCGUUGCUCGGAAUCACUGGGCGUAAAGCGCCCGUAGGCGGAUUGUUAAGUCAGGGGUGAAAUCCUGGAGCUCAACUCCAGAACUGCCUUUGAUACUGGCGAUCUUGAGUCCGGGAGAGGUGAGUGGAACUGCGAGUGUAGAGGUGAAAUUCGUAGAUAUUCGCAAGAACACCAGUGGCGAAGGCGGCUCACUGGCCCGGUACUGACGCUGAGACGCGAAAGCGUGGGGAGCAAACAGG
rnacentral:rRNA from 1 species